AAGCAAACAAAGAAAAAACUAGGAUGGGGUCAGAAAAAGGUGUGGCAGAAAAUUCCAAAGCCGGACAGGGAAAGCAUUGAAAAACACUACUUAAGCACUCAACUUCGGUAACAUCUCUAUUCCAAAAUAACAAUUCUUUCAUCUUUUAAUUACAAUUAAACUAAAACUAAUCUUGUGAAUUUCAUGUAUUCGAAUCCACAGUGAUAUCUUUUGGGCAGGACUCAAUGAUGAGAAAGUGACAAACCAUGAUCUCAAAGAUAUUGUAUGGGACCUGGAACUGUCACAAAACGUUAUUGAGGCCUAUAUCCAAAUAGAGGAGGAUAAAAUAGAGCCCAUGCAGACAGAGAGUCCACAGUACAUGUCCACAUGGACUUGGGUAAGUAUUAUUUUGAAAAUUCAAAAUUGUUUAAACAGACAAUGCACUGCAGUUUUCGAAAAAAUAUAUACUAACAAAUUGCCAUUCUGUGAUAUCAGGCUUACAUGCAAAGCUUCCUAGAGCCAUCUUGGCACAGGUUCCUGUAUGAACCCUUACUUGAAAAACUCGGGAAAUGCAAUGUUCUUUUCUUCCCAAUUAUUUCACAAGAAGAGUUCCACUUCACACUUCUCACAUUUCACAAAAAUGAACGAAAGUGGAGACACUACAAUCCACUUAGAUCGUUGGGACGUAGAAAAGAAGAAAGGUGCAUUGACAUUGCUCGAAACUUUGUAAGUGGAAUGAAACUGUCUUAAUUUCUCAGCACAAACACAAACAGAAACUGCAUUGCAGUUUCUGUAUUAUACAUACUGCCUAAUUUCAGACCAAAACUAUAAUAUGCAAUGCACUGAUUACCAUUUCUUUUUCUCUUUUUUUCUUCUUCUUUAAACAGGUUAAUAUUGUUGAAGGGUGGCUAGAAUAUAUAAGACCUCAAGCACGAGUGUUCAUAGAAACAAAAAAAAAACCAACACUAGUGGAGACACUACAAUCCACUUAGAUCGUUGGGACGUAGAAAAGAAGAAAGGUGCAUUGACAUUGCUCGAAACUUUGUUAAUAUUGUUGAAGGGUGGCUAGAAUAUAUAAGACCUCAAGCACGAGUGUUCAUAGAAAC